AUUGAACGCUGGCGGCAGGCCUAACACAUGCAAGUCGAGCGAGCGGCGGACGGGUGAGUAAUGUAUGGGGACUGCCCGAUAGAUGGGGAUAACUACUGGAAACGGUAGCUAAUACCGCAUACUAUCGGAUAACCCAUAUGGGAGUAGCUAGUAGGUGAGGUAAUGGCUCACCUAGGCGACGAUCCCUAGCUGGUCUGAGAGGAUGAUCAGCCACACGGGGACUGAGACACGGCCCAGACUCCUACGGAGGCAGCAGUUGGGAAUCGUGCACAAUUGGCUCAAUCCUGAUGCAGCCAUGCCGCGUGUAGGAAGAAGGCCCUAGGGUUUUAAAUUACUUUCAGUCGUGAGGCGUUGCCGACAGAAGAAGCACCGGCUAACUCCGUGCCAGCAGCCGCGGUAAUAC
rnacentral:rRNA from 1 species